rnacentral:rRNA from 1 species
GACGAACGCUGGCGGCGUGCUUAACACAUGCAAGUCGAACGGUGAACCUGCUUCGGUGGGGGAUCAGUGGCGAACGGGUGAGUAACACGUGGGCAACCUGCCCUCAGCUCUGGGAUAACUCCAAGAAAUUGGGGCUAAUACUGGAUAUGACCGCUGACCGCAUGGUCUGGUGGUGGAAAGAUUUAUCGGCUGGGGAUGGGCCCGCGGCCUAUCAGCUUGUUGGUGGGGUAGUGGCCUACCAAGGCGACGACGGGUAGCCGGCCUGAGAGGGUGACCGGCCACACUGGGACUGAGACACGGCCCAGACUCCUACGGGUGGCAGCAGUGGGGAAUAUUGCGCAAUGGGCGAAAGCCUGACGCAGCGACGCCGCGUGGGGGAUGACGGCCUUCGGGUUGUAAACCUCUUUCAGCAGGGACGAAGCGAAAGUGACGGUACCUGCAGAAGAAGCACCGGCCAACUACGUG